GCCGCCGCCUCGCGCGGAGCCGCACAGCGCCGCUGCCGCUCCGACUGCGCCGCCGCGGGGUUCGUUCCGCUUCCUUCCCAAUUAACAAAAGCGCUCUCGGUUCGCCCCUUCCCCCGGGAUUUCUUGCCGUUCGCUCUCAUUUGCCCUUUACGGCGCGUCGGUCGUAUUGAAGGACUUCGCGCGGCCGUUCCGAGCCGACUGAGGAAGUUUCCCGCGUCUCCUUCCAAUAAAAACAAAAACAAAUCCGACAUUCCCUUCAUUCCUUCCCUCGUGGGCGCCGUGCCGAGCGGUGCGGGCGCCGCAGGAGCCCAACGGACGGCUCCGCGUCACGGAAUCGUAGCGCCGUAGGACGGCCCGGGUUGCAAAGGACCGUAACGGCCGUCUCAUUUCAGCCCCCCGCUGUGCGCGGGGUCACCGCCGGCACACCGGGCCGCCCGCAGCGCCGCCGACCUCCGCGGCCGGCACCGGUGACGGCGCGCGUCCCCCGCAGGGCCGCCGUGCGGGGCUCAGUGGUGGCGCGUGGGCUCAUUGCGGCUGUGCUCCGCAGCGCCCAUCCGCGCGGCGGUUCUGUGCUCAGUUCGGAACGUCCCCACACAGCGCGGCUGUUUCUGCCCCGAGGUCGGGGCGCUGUCCGAGCUGUGCCCUCUGGCGGAACGCCCUGACAUCCUUUGUCGGCUGCAGCCCGCCAGUACUGCCCCCGGCAGCGUGGGAGCCCUCCCGCACCCCCGCCACAAACCCACGAGGGGGGAAAUGAGUGGGAAAGGACGGCCACACGAAGCAUUCUUUACCCAGGGGUUAUUUUGCUCGUUUUUUACGUCCUGCCUUCCCUUUUUUUUUUUUUUUUUUUUUAAGCCAGAGGUGGAAGAGCAAAGCAAGUGAUUCUCCAUCAGCUCACCCAGUUGGGUACCAUCAGCAUCCCCGCAUGGAGGUGAGUGGGAAGAGCCCCAGCAGGAGGCAGAACGAAAGGCGUAGCUGCAGUCCGUGCUGCGGGGCUCUCACGGACCGGGGACGUUUUAAAUCUUAGCCCUGCCUUCCGAAGGCUCCCCGCGGUGCCACCCAUCCGUGCUGCAGCCAAAAUCAGCGGCAGUGGGCGCUGCACCCGGCAGCACAAUGAACGGCCUAAAAACUCCAUUCUCUUUGCACGCAGUUUUUGUCACUGUUAAACCUCGGCCAGCGGUGAAGGAUCUGCAGGGGCUGUUUGAGUUGUCAGCUUUAUUCUCCCAAAUACCUGGAGAACAAUGGAGAUGAGUGCCGUGAUCCGAACUGCUGGCAGCACCGCAGCUCACCUCUCCGCACGGCAAAGCCCGUGUAUUUAAAUACAAUUAAGAAGCUUUCACAAGUGAGUAAUUCCAGGACUGGGAUUAAGGGAUGUGGUCAAGCAGGAUGCCUAUUGUCUGUGUGGAAGGGAAAAUCUGCUUCCCUUCGGUCUGGGCUGUAUCGCUCUGCCCUAAUAAACCACUGCCACUUACCAUGCUCUCUUGUGUUUAUUGAAUAUCCACAGCCUCACGUUUACGAAUCAGAGACGUGCUGCUAUCUGUACAGACCAACUGCAGGUUAAACGUUUCUGCUUCAAACGUCUCCAUUGGAAAGGAGCAGCUGAGCUAUGGGGUGUGUGGCCCACCGUGCUGUGCCCCCUCCACUGUUUGCUGCACUGACACUGCUGGCGAUGAGCUCAGCUCAUGGC
ensembl:lncRNA